UACAGAGGGGGCAAGCGUUAUUCGGAAUUAUUGGGCGUAAAGGGCGCGUAGGCGGCUUGGCAAGUGGAUGGUGAAAUCCCUCAGCUUAACCGAGGAACUGCCGUCCAAACUGCUUCGCUUGAGACCGGGAGAGGUGAGUGGAAUUCCCAGUGUAGCGGUGAAAUGCGUAGAUAUUGGGAGGAACACCAGUGGCGAAGGCGGCUCACUGGACCGGUACUGACGCUGAUGCGCGAAAGCGUGGGGAGCAAACAGG
rnacentral:rRNA from 1 species